GACGAAUGCUGGCUGCGUGCUUAACACAUGCAAGUCGAACGGUGAAAGGGAGCUUGCUCCCUGGAUCAGUGGCGAACGGGUGAGUAACACGUGGGCAACCUGCCCCUCACUCUGGGAUAACUCCGGGAAACCGGGGCUAAUACCGGAUACGACCUGGUGCGACAUCGCACCGGGUGGAAAGAACUUCGGUGAGGGAUGGGCCCGCGGCCUAUCAGCUUGUUGGUGGGGUAACGGCCCACCAAGGCGACGACGGGUAGCCGGCCUGAGAGGGCGACCGGCCACACUGGGACUGAGAAACGGACCAGACUCCUACGGGAGGCAGCAGUGGGGAAUAUUGCGCAAUGGGCGAAAGCCUGACGCAGCGACGCAGCGUGAGGGACGAAGGCCUUCGGGUUGUAAACCUCUUUCAGCGGGGACGAAGCGAAAGUGACGGUACCCGCAGAAGAAGCACCGGCUAACUACGUGCCAUGCAGCAGCCGCCGUAA
rnacentral:rRNA from 1 species